AAAUCUUAGGUAAAUCCGGGGUUUCAAGGCCGAGAGCUGAUGACGAGUCGUCUUUUAGAUGACGAAGUGGUUGAUGCCAUGCUUCCAAGAAAAGCUUCUAAGCUUCAGGUAACCAGGAACCGUACCCCAAACCGACACAGGUGGUCGGGUAGAGAAUACCAAGGCGCUUGAGAGAACUCGGGUGAAGGAACUAGGCAAAAUGGCACCGUAACUUCGGGAGAAGGUGCGCCGGCUAGGGUGAAGGAUUUACUCCGUAAGCUCUGGCUGGUCGAAGAUACCAGGCCGCUGCGACUGUUUAUUAAAAACACAGCACUCUGCAAACACGAAAGUGGACGUAUAGGGUGUGACGCCUCCCCGGUGCCGGAAGGUUAAUUGAUGGGGUUAGCGCAAGCGAAGCUCUUGAUCGAAGCCCCGGUAAACGGCGGCCGUAACGAUAACGGUCCUAAGGUAGCGAAAUUCCUUGUCGGGUAAGUUCCGACCUGCACGAAUGGCGUAACGAUGGCGGCGCUGUCUCCACCCGAGGCUCAGUGAAAUUGAAAUCGCUGUGAAGAUGCAGUGUAUCCGCGGCUAGACGGAAAGACCCCGUGAACCUUUACUGUAGCUUUGCACUGGACUUUGAGCCUGCUUGUGUAGGAUAGGUGGGAGGCUUUGAAGCGUGGACGCCAGUUCGCGUGGAGCCAUCCUUGAAAUACCACCCUGGCAUGCUUGAGGUUCUAACUCUGGUCCGUAAUCCGGAUCGAGGACAGUGUAUGGUGGGCAGUUUGACUGGGGCGGUCUCCUCCUAAAGAGUAACGGAGGAGUACGAAGGUGCGCUCAGACCGGUCGGAAAUCGGUCGCAGAGUAUAAAGGCAAAAGCGCGCUUGACUGCGAGACAGACACGUCGAGCAGGUACGAAAGUAGGUCUUAGUGAUCCGGAGGUUCUGUAUGGAAGGGCCAUCGCUCAACGGAUAAAAGGUACUCCGGGGAUAACAGGCUGAUACCGCCCAAGAGUUCAUAUCGACGGCGGUGUUUGGCACCUCGAUGUCGGCUCAUCACAUCCUGGGGCUGAAGCCGGUCCCAAGGGUAUGGCUGUUCGCCAUUUAAAGUGGUACGCGAGCUGGGUUUAGAACGUCGUGAGACAGUUCGGUCCCUAUCUGCCGUGGACGUUUGAGAUUUGAGAGGGGCUGCUCCUAGUACGAGAGGACCGGAGUGGACGAACCUCUGGUGUUCCGGUUGUCACGCCAGUGGCAUUGCCGGGUAGCUAUGUUCGGAAAAGAUAACCGCUGAAAGCAUCUAAGCGGGAAACUUGCCUCAAGAUGAGAUCUCACUGGGAACUUGAUUCCCCUGAAGGGCCGUCGAAGACUACGACGUUGAUAGGCUGGGUGUGUAAGCGUUGUGAGGCGUUGAGCUAACCAGUACUAAUUGCCCGUGAGGCUUGACU
rnacentral:rRNA from 1 species